UGGGGAAUAUUGGACAAUGGGCGGAAGCCUGAUCCAGCAAUGCCGCGUGUGUGAAGAAGGCCUGCGGGUUGUAAAGCACUUUCGGUGGGGAGAAAGAGGCCAUUUUGAAUAGGGAUGGCGGAUGAUGUUACCCACAGAAGAAGCACCGGCUAACUCUGUGCCAGCAGCCGCGGUAAUACAGAGGGUGCGAGCGUUAAUCGGAAUUACUGGGCGUAAAGGGUGCGUAGGUGGUUGUUUAAGUUGGGUGUGAAAGUCCUGGGCUUAACCUGGGGAUUGCGUCUGAUACUGGAUAGCUAGAGUAUUGUAGAGGGGAGCGGAAUUUCCGGUGUAGCGGUGAAAUGCGUAGAUAUCGGAAGGAACAUCGGUGGCGAAGGCGGCUUUCUGGACAAAUACUGACACUGAGGCACGAAAGCAUGGGGAGCGAACAGGAUUAGAUACCCCCGUAGUCC
rnacentral:rRNA from 1 species